ensembl:lncRNA
CAGGGUCCCACAGCAUGGCCAGCAGCACGCAGCCUUCGGGGAGUCACUUGGCCCCCGGAGCGUUCAGCCUGCUCCCUCCCACCAGGAGGGGGCACCAGAGCAAGCUGGGGCAAAGAUGCUGCCGGCCACGGGGGUGCAUUGCUGAGGAUGGAGGGAGAUGGGCACUUCCCUUCCCCUUGGGGCAGUGAACGUGCAGGAGUCACCCCUCUGCUCUUGACCCAGAGACCCCACCAGCCCAUUUAUCACCUACUCAAGCCCAGCUGUUGAUUCCCGCCCUCUCCUCCCAUGUAGACCAGGCGCUUCCUGGGACCUGGGGCCCUGGCUUGUUCAUUCUGGUGCUCUCCG